GUUACAGCUGAAGCAUAUGAAAACCAUAUUCCAGAAAAAUCUGACAGAGUUGGAGGGCAAGGAAGAAAGUUAAAAAUAAAUAAAUUCAGAGCUACUAAUAUAAGUGCAUGGACUCUUGUGCUAUACGUGCCUAUAUAUGGACCCCGAGUCUUGUCGCCGAUUCGCAGGUGGCGAAUGCGAGGCUAAUGAAGGAAAAUGUCUCACAACCUCCCUCUACGAAGUUAGCAAUCACAAGUAUAUUGGAUCGUACUAUGAAUGUUUCCAAUCGUUGCCUGGAGUGGAGUGUCACACUGCUGUAAAGGAGCCUAAUAUCAUUUUUGUUUAUGAGUGCUGUGAAACUGACAAGUGCAACACAAAUCCUACACCUUUCCCUCCUCGCUGGUGUACAAAUUCUUCCAAGGAAUGUGAGUGAGAUUUUCAAGGCUGUGGCUCACCCCACUCUCAGCCUCUUUAGUCCAUCCCCUUGAAGAGAGACCUGGAGAAUCUGCUGUUACCCACAUUUUGUUCUAUCCUCUCUGAAGUGAACUGAUUUAGUUGCCUGCACCCCAUCUUCUCAAGCCUCCCUCUCCCAGGGCAUCUUAAUUGGUUGAGAAGGUUUAAGAUGAAAGAAUAAACAUGCCUUCUGUUGCA